CACAGUCCGCUGAAAUCAUCUACGGUUAAUAGAGGUUUUUCAAUAGGACUAACAAUUUUGAUAAUUGGGUCAAAAUCACAAUAUUUGAGAUUUUUUUUCACAUAAUCUCUUAGGGGUGUUCGCGGAUCGGAUUUUACAGAUUGGACAUCGAUCCAUAUCCGAUCCAUCAUUUUGUGGAUUAUAAUUUUUCAAUCCAAUCCAAUCCAUGGAUUGAUAAAAUUCAAUCCAAAUCCAAUCCAUAUAUCUGCAGAUCAGAUGCGGAUUUGACUCAAUUCAUAUCCAAUCCACACGUCUGCGGAUUGAAUGCAGAUUUGACUCAAUCCAUAUUCAAUCCAUCAUUUUGUACAUUAGUUUUCGAAUUAAAAAAUUUUAAUUCUCUCCAACUAAUGAAAUAAAAAAAAACUAAUAUAAAAAUAAUUUUGCUACCAAUUAAAUUUAAAAUUGAAUAAAAUUUAAAUAAAUUAAUUGUUUAAAUAAACCUAAAAUAAUACAUUUAAAAUUUCAAAAUAUAACGCAUCGAGACUAAUUAUUCAAAUAAAGCUACAACAAUACGUUCAAAGUUUCAAAAUAUAACAUACCAAGCUUAAUUGUUCAAAUAAAAUUACAAUAAUACGUUAAUAUAACACUGAAAUUAAUUAUUCAAAUAAAGCCAGAAUUAAUUGAAAUGGCGAAGUUUUGGAAACCAAACACAGUCUGAUCCUUUACCAGGGCUGUUGCUCCUGUCGAAAAGUGGUGAUUACGGAGCCGUCCAUGAUGGGAACUAGGAGAAGCCGUACAGGUGGUGAUCUUGAAGGUUGUGAUAGUGCAAUUGUUCAGCUGGAACCAGUGAAUGUGAAGUGGCUCGAUGGACUUGGGAAAGAAGAUGGCUUGCUCUUACCAGAAUCGCGCGGCUGAUGUCCUUCAAAUCUGUGUCGAGAGUGUAUCCAACCAGUAUUGAGUGUUGCUAGUGUGUGUAACAACAGGGAAGCUUAGGGUUUUUUGUUUGCAAAUUGUUGAUGAUUUGGCGUCAUGUUACUUUGUUUUUGGGUGACUUUGCAAAUUGUUAGUGACUUGGCGUCAUAUUAUUUUGUUUUUGGGUGACUUUGCAAAUUGUUGGUGACUUGGCGUUAUGUUACUUUACUUUUGCUAGUACAUGUGACUUUGUUUUUAUUUUGUUUUACAAUUUUUACAAGUUAUAUUUGUGUAUUUGAUUAUUUAAUUAUUUUUCAUUUUAUAUUAUUAUUAGGUAAUGGCUAAGAUAUGUUAUAGUGCUUAUGUAACUAUGUAAUCUCACAUUUAUAAUUUUUUAAAUUAAAUUAUAUAUAUAUAUAUAUAUUGACGGAUUCACGUAUUUUUGCGGAUUUACAGAAGUAAAUCCAUAUCCAAUCCAUCGACUGCGGAUUUUUAAAUUUUCAAUCCAUAUCCAAUCCACCAAUCCAUAGAUUGGAUUUAUACGGUUCAGAUUAAGCGGAUCAGAUUAGAUUCUGAACACCCCUCUAAUCUUUAUACUUCCCUCAUAGAAACAUGCAAUAUUGAGAAAUAUUCUUUUUUCUUUUUCUUUUGACCCAUCAAAACUUAUUUGAAGUACAUGAAGAAUCUCACUUUCAGGACCUCUUUGUAGUCAUUGUAGUGCACUUUCCUGUUCAGCUAUAGUUCUACCAAACAAAAAUGAGCCCAGAACCUUCAGAGCUAAUGGAAGACCACCAGCAUUAAGGGGAAAAAAAUAAAACUUUACAAAACUAAGUUUUUGGUUUUUAGUGAAUGAGGUUUCUCAUCUCAUCUCCACCUUAGGGGAAAAAAAAUAAAACUAAAACUAAACUAAAACUAAAAUUGAUCAAGAAUUGUAGACGCAAAUAUUUCUCAAAGACCAAAGUUUACCUGUACAAAAAUAUGAAACUUGAUAAUGGUUCUGUUUUGGAAAUAAAUGAUGUUUUUCUUCAUAUUACUUCUGAAAAUUCAAAAACAAAAAUGAAAAUAAAGAGAACUGCAUAGCAUAGGACUUACAGCUUCGAUAUGUUGCAAGCAGUAGAGGAAUUUUCUUAAUAAGAAUUCCGACCGCAAACAUUCUAAGCCCUAACAUCCAAUAUGUUUUAAAUAUCAACUACAUGUCAACGACGGGGAAUUCCAAGGAAUCUUCUAUUUAAAGAAUCAACCAUUGUCAAUUCUUAUAAACGAAGUCUUCAAAUUGACAUUGCGGCCUCUGUUGUUUAAAGGAAAAAAAAAUUCAGUAGUUGUCAAUUCCUAUCAACCAAGUCCUCCAACCAAAAUUACAUACGGGGGUGGAGAAAAGAAAAAUAAAAAUCAAAUGUUGAAUCCUCUUGAUUGUAUCAUGGAUAAAUCUGAUUUAGAUCUGAGUCCAUAUUUUAAUAGAUUCAUCGACCCAUUUUCAGACGUGCCAUGAAUUGUAAAUUAAGCCAAAUAUUCACAAAAAACAACAAAGAAACAAAAACCAGAUUCUGUGUUUAGCCGCAAAUGGGCUGUUUCACAGCCAAGCAAGAAAACAAAUGAAGAAAAUUAAUUGCUUUCCAGUGGUUCAAGAAUUAAUACCAUUAUUGAUUGCUUCGAGAGUGUGGGAUUUAUCCCACCAUUUCCGCCAAGCCCAUAGACGUUAUGUGGAUCAAAGCUCACAAUUCAGGAAAGUUUUUUUUGCCUUUAAUCUUUUAUCCUUACGCUUUAAUUUUUAUGUGAGCUUUGAUUAUCUUACAUUGGGGACAAUGUAAGUUCUUGGUGUGGGGGAGGGAUUUUUGCAUUAUUGAUGUCUGGAAGUAGUAUUUUCACUCUACUCAUCCUUAAAUGAUUUUGGAGUUAGUAUGCUUCAUAUAUUAUUAUUUUUUCUUUUCUUUUCUUUCUCACUACUCUUUUCCCAUCUAUCUCAAAUUAUUUACAUCUAUUUUUAUUUUAUCAUACUCUUUCAUCACUCACAUUUUAUCUUUCACUUUUCAUAUUAUUACAUACAUCUUUCUCACUUCUUAUCAUUUUUACCUUUCCUUUUAUAUAUCACUCAUACCUUCUUCUCAUUCUAUACCACUAUUGAUGAUUGAUUCAUUUGAAGAGUGUACAUGAUUUGAUGGCAAUUUUACCAACUUUGUGAGGAUUUAACCCUAUGAGCAACCACUUUGCUCUAAUAUUUUUGUUAUGUGAAUAUCAAUCUUAGUUUGUUUAUUCUAGAACUUGCUUUGUUAUGCAUGUUGAAGCCGCAUUACGGGAUUUUAUGCAUUAAAAUGAUAAGGGUAAACCCUUUUCCAUUUUUCUAUUCUCGCAUUUUUUUUUCUCUACCUGAAGACCUUUAUUUACUAUCUUUGUUUGAGCCUUAACCAUUACCCAUCUAAUUCUCUCCGUCUACUUAACCAUUUUUCUUCUUUUUGAGCCUCAAUUUAAGGAGAUUUUUGGACUCAUUGUGUGGAUAUAAUUUGUUGCUUUUCUACCUUGUAUUAAAGUUUCUCAAUUAGAUCAACAAGCAUUAUGCUUGAAUUAAAUUGUGCAAGGUUCGUUUCUUUUGUUUGAUUCGAAAAAAAAAUAAAAAAUAAAAAAAAAAGAAAAAAAAAAGAAAAAGAAAAAUUGAAAAAAAAGAUCAAAAAAAAUGUUUCCAUUCUUGGUGACUUGAAUAGAAAUAAGCAUUUUGAUAUCAUAAGUUCAUUCAAUGAGUUCAUUAUUCUCAUUUUGAUCUCUUUUUCUUUUGUAGACCUUUCUUUUUCAUUUAACCUAUUUAACCCCAUUACAACCUUUUUAAGACCCUUAGAUUUUUGCAUUUUAUUCAUAUUUUGUGGAUUGAGAUGUGAUAUAUGAGCAAGCUUAUGGUAAUAGCAUUCUUUGAUUUGAUUUGAGUGCAUAAAUGAUACCCUAAACACUUUGAGUGCAUGGAGUGAAGUCAUUGAGAGGGCUAUUAAAUCUUGUUGCACUUGAAUUUUGAAUGGAUCUUCUUGGUGGUUGAAUGUUCUUAUUCUAUCUUAUGAGAUUCUAUGCUUUAAAAAUCCUUGUCUCUCGAAUGUUGAUCGACUUAAUUUCUUGAGGUAUGCUUGCUUAAAAUUGUUUUUGGAUGAGUUGAGAUGAGAAUUGAGUGGAGAUUUGGGAUUAAUCUUGAGUUAUAUGCUUGAGGACAAGCAUCAUCUUGGUGUGGGGGAAUUUGUUAGAGUGCAAUUUAUGCACUAGUUUUCAUUAUUCACUUCUCUUAAUAUCGAUGUUUUGCACUUAAUAAUAGUUAUUUACUUGUGUUUUACUUUUAUAGGUGCAAUUUUAUUGAUUGGUAAUAAAAUUGAGCUAUAAGAUGAUGUUUAAGGAUGAUUGUUCUCUUGGAGAAAUUAUGAGUGUCAAAAGAACUUUGUUGAUAAGGCGUGGGCGCGUGCUGUCAACUGCGGACCUGCAGUUUUUAGUUUAACGUGUUUUAUAUUUUUGGUUAUUUUUGUAAUUACGAAUUUAAUAUUUCAGAUAUUAGUAUUUUAUUUUAAAUAGAAAUCUAAAAGAGAAGAGAGAGAGAGUAUUUAAGGGAGGAAUCUAUUGUGAAAAAAGGGGAGAUUGGAGAAAAAGAAAGAAACCCUAGAUCUAAACCUUUCUCUUCUCUCUAUGAAGAACUAAACCUAUUUUUCUGGUUGAAAGAUAAUGAAGCUUUGAUUCAUCACUAUUGUGAUGACUUUCUUAUGCUUUAAUUGUUUUAUUGCUUUUUGGGUAUUUGUUUAUUGUCUGAAUUAUUUUCAUGAUUAUGUUUGUUAAUUAGGUAAUUGGCCACUAUUUAAUUAUCAACUUAAUCUAUUGUCAAUUAAAGGAUUCAUCGUAUGAAGAUUUUAAUGUUUGUGACAAAUAACAUAGCAGUGAGUUGUGUUAUGAGAAUAAACAAUCUAAUUUAAAUGAAUCAUCGCAUGUGUUGAUUAGGAUUUGGGUCUCUCUGGUCUUUCAGGCUGUCAAUUGAUUAAAUCCUAUGAUCAUAUCUAGGGUUGUCUAUUGAUUAGGGAAAUAACUAACGGUCGUACCUUGGUUAUCGACUAGUUCAGGAGAGAUUGGCUAUUAGAGGGUCUUAGUAGCUAUAAUCGGUCUAUUCAUAAGUAAUAAUAAUCUAUAUUUGAAUUAAUGAUCAGUAGUCGAAUCAAGCUGAGUUAAUUCCUUCAACCAGAGCUUUCUCUAAUUUGAAUUACAACUUUAAUUUACAUUCUUGUUAUUUUAAUUUGAUUUUUAUUAUUGUCAACAAUUCCCCCAUUUUACGUUUUACGUUUCAAAAGGAUUUAAAUAAUUACCGAUCUCUGUGGACACGACCCUGCUCAAUCACUAUACACAAUUUAUUUAGAGUAAGUAUUUAUUUUUGUUGGCUUCGACAACCAUCAAAUUUUGGCGCCGUUGCCAGGGAUUGGUGUCAUUUAUUUAAUCCUUUUUACGUUUUCUUGGUGUAUGGUUCGUUCUUCUCAUACAGGUACACUUUCGUUUGAUCCUGAAAUUGAGAAGACAGCUCACCAGCUGAGACAGCAGACGAAGCGAGCUAAGCAACGAUCCUCGUCACCUUUGCUUUCUGAAAUAGAUACGGUGCCUGAUUUGGUUUAAUCAUCUAGCGAUUCAGAAGAACAAGUGAUGGAUAGAGCUGCACCUGUAGAAAAAACUCUUAGAGAGUUAGCUGAACUAGACUUGAAUCAGCAACCACUCUACAUUCAAUAUGUAGAUUUGGAGGUAAAUUUUGAAUUAAAGUCUGGUCUUAUUCAUUUAUUACCCAAGUUUCAUGGUUUUGCAGGUGAAGAUCCUCAUAAACAUCUCGAGGAGUUUCAUGUUGUAUGUUCAAGUAUGAGACCACAAGGCGUGACUGAAGAGCAGAUUAAGCUGCGUGCUUUUCCUUUCUCUUUAGAUGGACUAGCUAAAGACUGGUUGUACUACUUGCCUCCUGGAUCAAUUACAACAUGGAAUGGUUUGAAGAAGCAGUUUCUCGAGAAGUACUUUCCUGCUUCAAGAGCUGCCAACAUCAGAAAAGAUAUUUGUGGGAUCAGACAACUUCCUGGGGAAACUUUGUAUGAGUAUUGAGAGCGAUUCAAACAAUUGUGUGCCAGCUGUCCUCAGCAUCAGAUUUCUGAUCAACUUCUUAUUCAAUAUUUUUACGAAGGACUGUCAUUAAUGGAUAGGAGUAUGAUAGAUGCUGCUAGUGGAGGUGUGUUCGUGAACAAGACUCCAACUCAAGUAAGGGAGUUGAUCUCAAAUAUGGCUGCCAAUGCACAACAAUUUGGCAGCAGGCAAGAUGCCACUUCAAGAAUGGUGAAUGAGGUAAAUAUUUCUUCUGUUGAACAACGUUUAGAUAAACUUACUUCUCUUGUGGAAAAGUUUGUUUUAGGUAAUGUGCAACAGAUAAAGACUUGUGGCAUUUGUUCCAAUAUGGGUCAUUCAACUGAUAUGUGUCCUACACCUCAAGAAGAACCCGUUGAACAAGCCAAUGCAAUUGGAGGAUUUCCAGGCAUGCCUCAGAGGAGGUAUGAUCCUCAUGCACAAACAUACAAUCCGGGAUGGAAGGAUCACCCCAACUUCAGCUAUGGAGUUAGGCCGUAAGGAUUCCCACAACAGUAUCCACCAAGACAACCAGCACCUCCACAGUCAAACUCCAAGUUAGGUAUAUCUCUUAAAGAAAUUGUUAAAUCACUUGCGACUAACGCUCAACAAUUUUAGCAGCCAACCACAACAAGCAUUCAGAAUUUGGAGAGCAAAGUGAGUCAAUUGGCAACUACGAUGAGCCGUCUAGAGUCUCAAGUAUCAGGGAGAUUGCCUUUACAAUCUGAGGUGAAUCCAAAGCAAAACGCUAGUGCCAUCAUCCUUAGAAGUGGGAAGGAGUUGCAAGAGCCUAGUAAGAAAGUGACAAAGCAUGUAGAAGAUGAGCUUGAGAAGAAUGAAUUGAUGCCUAAAUCCAAAGAUGCACAACCCACCAGAGCGAAACCCCUACCUAUUGUGAUACCUCCUCCUUUUCCAAAUCAGUUUGCAAAAUCCAAGAAGGAGGAACAAGGGAAAGACAUCCUUGAGACAUUUCGCAAGGUUGAGGUAAACAUUCCCUUAUUAGAUGCUAUAAAACAAAUACCUCGAUAUGCUAAAUUCCUUAAGGAACUAUGCACCUCCAAGAGAAAAUUAAGAGGAGAUGAAAGAGUUCACAUGGGAGAGAAUGUUUCCGCAGUUCUCCAAAAGAAACUACCUCCUAAGUGCAAGGAUCUAGGUAUGUUUACUAUCUCUUGCAAAAUUGGUAGUGUUAGAGUUGAAAAGGCUAUGUUAGAUCUAAGAGCUUCAAUUAAUGUCAUGCCUCGUUCUAUUUAUUCAUCUUUGAAUGUUGGGGCAUUAAAAGAAACUGGCGUGAUAAUUCAACUAGCUGAUAGGUCUAAUACAUAUCGUGAUGGGGUAUUAGAGGAUAUCUUAGUACAAGUUAAUGAGUUGGUUUUUCCUGCUGAUUUUUAUGUACUUGAUAUGGAAGAGGAUAACUCCUCUAAUUCUAUCCCAAUUUUGCUAGGAAGACCUUUUCUUAACACUGCUAGAACUAAAAUGGAUGUACAUAAAGGGACUCUUACUAUGGAGUUUAAUGGAGAGGUUAUAGAGUUCAAUAUGUAUGAUGCUAUGAAAUAUCUCAGUGAGGAACAUUCGGUAUUUUCUAUGGAUGUUAUUAACCCUAUAGUGCAGGAAGUUUUUUAUUUGGAUGUUGAAGAUUCAUUGGUAGCUGCUUUAAAUAACAGUUUGGGCCUCGAAAGAUUGCAAAAGGAUGAAAAUGAGUUUGUUUUAAAUUCUGUAUUGCAAGAGACAAUUUAUGAAUUAAAUUCUUUGAGAACUUUAACUCAUCAUAUGUCUAAUAUUGAAUUACCUUCAUCUCAUGCAAAACUUCUUCCAUCUAAUUUGUAGGCACCGAAAAUAGAGCUUAAACCAUUGCCGAGUUAUCUAAAGUACAUGUUUCUAGGAGAGGAUGAGACACUUCCGGUGAUCAUCUCUUCAAAGCUUAGUACUUUAGAGGAAGAGAAACUUAUUAGAGUGCUGAAGGAUUACAAAAAGGCUAUUAGGUGGACAAUUACAGAUAUUAAAAGGAUAAGUCCGUCUAUGUGCAUGCAUAGAAUACUACUGGAGGAAGAUGCCAAACCUUUAAUUCAAGCUCAACGCCGUUUGAAUCCACUCAUAAUGGAAGUAGUGAAGAAAGAAAUUCUAAAACUUCUUGAUGCAGGUAUAAUCUAUCCAAUUUCGGAUAGCAAAUGGGUAAGUCCGGUACAAGUAGUACCAAAGAAAACUGGGAUAACAAUUAUUGAGAAUUCUUAUGGUGAGUUAGUACCUACCCGAGUUUAGAAUGGGUGGAAGGUUUGUAUUGAUUUUAGAAAGCUUGAUUCACUCACUAGGAAGGAUCAUUUUCCUAUUCCUUUUAUUGAUCAGAUGCUUGAAAGGUUAGCAGAAAAAUCUCACUUUUGUUGUCUUGAUGGCUAUUCAGGUUUUCAUCAGAUACCAGUUGCGCCCGAGGAUCAGGAGAGGACUGCCUUCACAUGUCCUUUUGGAACCUUUGCGUACCGACGUAUGCCAUUUGGUCUUUGUAACGCUCCCGCCACUUUUCAGAGGUGCAUGGUCAGUAUUUUUUCAGACUAUGUAGAAAACACUAUAGAGGUAUUUAUGGACGAUUUUAUGGUCUAUGCUGAUUCUUUCGAUGAUUGUCUCUGUAAUCUGAAGAAAGUGCUUGAAAGAUGCAUUGAAACAAACCUUGUCUUGAAUUAUGAAAAAUGUCAUUUUAUGGUAAAUUAAGGCAUUAUUUUGGGUCAUGUAGUCUAUGUUAGAGGAAUUGAGGUAAAUAAAGCUAAAAUAGAUGUUAUUAAAUCUUUACCUUAUCCCACAUGUGUGCGGGAAGUUCGUUCUUUCCUUGGUCAUGCAGGUUUCUAUAGACAAUUUAUCAAGGAUUUUUCGAAGAUAGCUCAGCCUUUAUGCAAGCUUCUUCAGAAAGAUGUGACGUUUGAUUUUAAUGAAGCAUGCAAGGUAGCAUUUGAUAAACUUAAGGAGUUAUUGACUUCAGCUCCAAUUAUACAGCCACCAGACUGGAGCCUCCCUUUUGAGAUAAUGUGCGACGCCAGUAAUUAUAUUAUUGGUGCUGUUCUCGAACAAAGGGUUGGAAGAGCUGCUCAUGUGAUAUAUUACGCAUCGAGAACACUUGAUAGUGCUCAAUGCAAUUACUCAACAAUGGAAAAAGAACUUUUAGCUAUUGUUUUUGCUUUAGAAAAAUUCCGUUCAUAUUUAUUGGGUACUAAAGUGAUUGUUUUUUCUGACCAUGUAGCUUUCAGAUAUUUGCUCACCAAGAAGGAAGCGAAACCGAGACUUAUUCGCUGGAUCCUACUGCUUCAAGAAUUCAACUUGGAGAUCCGUGACAAGAAAGGAACAGAAAACUUAGUUGCAGACCACCUUAGUAGAUUGAUCACGAGUGAAGAAGCAGCACCUUUGAAGGAUGAUUUUCCAGAUGAGCAUCUCUUUGUAACUCAAGGUAUGGUUCCUUGGUACGCUAACAUUGUCAAUUACUUAGUUACAAGAAUACUACCUAGUGAUCUGACGAGGGCUCAAAAAGAUAAAAUUAAGAGCGAUGCUAAAUACUAUGUUUGGGAUGACCCUUACUUGUGGAAACAUUACUCUGACCAAGUCAUCAGAAGGUGCGUAUCUGAGUUUGAAAUUCCUUUUAUUCUUCAGUUUUGUCACUCAUAUGCAUGUGGUGGUCAUUUUGGUCCCAAAAGGACAGCAUCCAAGGUGUUAGAAUGUGGUUUAUUUUGGCCUACUUUAUUUCGUGAUUCAUACAUGUUUUGUAAGUCGUGUGAGAAUUGUCAAAAGACUGGUAAUUUAAGUCAUAGAAAUCAAAUGCCACUUACCCCUAUUCUUGUAUGUGAAAUAUUUGAUAUGUGGGGCAUUGAUUUUAUGGGACAUUUUCCCUCAUCUUUUGGCAAUGCUUACAUUCUUUUAGCAGUGGAUUACGUUUCUAAGGGGGUAGAGGCUAAGGCCACCUGGACUGACAAUGCUAAAGUUGUUGUAGAUUUUGUCAAGUUUAAUAUUUUUGCCAGGUUUGGUGUACCGAGAGCGAUGAUAAGUGAUAGAGGCACUCAUUUCUGUAAUCGAGUGGUGGAAGCUUUGUUCAAAAGAUAUCAUGUUACCCACCGAGUGUCUACCGCCUAUCAUCCGCAGUCAAGUGAACAAGCUGAGAUAUCAAACAGAGAAAUCAAGUCUAUUCUUGAAAAGAUAGUUAGUCCAAAUCGAAAGGAUUGGAGUUUGCGAUUAGAUGAUGCAUUAUGGGCGUAUUGCAUGGCUUACAAAACUCCCAUAGGUAUGUCUCCUUAUCGUUUAGUAUUUGGUAAGCCUUGUCAUUUACCUGUAGAACUUGAGCACAGAGCAUACUGGGCAGUUAAGCAAUGCAAUAUGCGGAUGGAUGAAGCGGGAAAGCAAAGGAAGUUGCAGCUGCAAGAGUUGGAGGAGAUUAGAAAUGAAUCCUACGAGAGUUCGCGAUUUUACAAGAAAAAGACGAAGACAUUUCAUGACAGAAUAAUUUUGAGAAAGGAGUUCUCUGUUGGUCAAAAAGUUCUUCUUUUUCAUUUUAAACUUAAACUUUUUCCUAGUAAAUUACGUUCUCAUUGGGUAGGACCUUUUAUUGUUACUAAUGUUAUUCCUCAUGGUGCAGUUGAGAUUCGGACUCCAACCUCUGAUAAAGUCUUUAAGGUUAAUGGUCAUCGUUUAAAACCUUUUUAUGAAGGUUUUUCGGUGAAUAUUGUGGAGGAAAUGGCUCUCGAGAGUCCUAUUUAUGGAGAUUGAUGCAUAAAUGUGUCUAGCCAAAGACAUAAAACAAAGGCGCUUUUUGGGAGGCAACCCAAGUGAUUUGUUUAUUUUGGUUUUUGUUUUAUCUUCUUUUAGUUUUGAUUCAAAUAAAAAAAAAUUAAAUAAUGUGUUUGCUUAUUUUGGUCAGAAGAAAAUUUUUGAUAAGGCGUGCCCACGUGCUUAUUAGAAAAGUACUUUUGAAAUUUUUAGUGUCUCAAAGUGAUUCAUCACUAAAAAAAAAAAUAUUUUUUUUCCUUCUUUUCUUUCUUUUAUAUAUAUAUAUAUAUUUAUUUAUUUAUUUAAAAAAAUGAAAAAAAAAACAAAAAUCACAAAUCACAAAUCAUUGUUCACAAAUCCAUAAGUCAAAAAAAAAAAUUCAUUGUUGAUUAUCGUUUUCACCAGCAGCAGCCGCAUCAGUCCCACCUGCAACCACUAGCCCGCGCGCAGCAAGCCCCAGCCAUCACCAUCGCGCAGUGCAUCAGUCCCGCGUGCGCAACGCAGCCGAGCAGCAGCAGACGAGCACACCCCGCAACGCAGAUCCUCAGCUCCAGCCCCCGCGCGCAGUUCAAAUCAAUCCAGUCGUCACCAUCACGCAGCAGCACAGCCGCGGGCAACGCAAUGCAACCAGCAGCCCACGUGCGCCGCACAAUCAGUCCCACGCGCAACACAAGCCCCAGCAAAGCAACUAGCAUCACGCAACCCCCGCAACGCAGCACGAACCAACCAACUCCUAAGUGAUCUUUCUUUCCUAAAAAAUUAUAUGCUAAGAAUCGAUGCACACAUUUCAAAACAGGAUCACGUAAGAAAGAACUCUUUGAUUUACUCGGGUCAUAGGCAUUGUGAUCAACAGAUAAAUUACACCAAAGACCAUAAGGCUCAAAAUUUUCGCUAAAGUCACAAGUUGUUCCUAAAUAUGCAUCACUAGAAGAAUAAUAAUCAUCAAUGAAUCCUAAAGCUAGGUUAAAAUUCGUGAUAGAGUGUGAAAAAUUUCGUUCCAUUAACCUAAACUUUAUAACAUUCGGGAUAUGCAAAGUAAAAUCAUUCGGUAUAUUAAAUUGAAAAGUAGCAUAGAACUCCCUAAUCAACUCAACAUAACCCAAACAAUCAACAUCAACAAACUUACGCAAACCAAUCUUAUCUAUCAAAGAAUCAAAAUUAUCCUUAACAUUCAAUUUUUCAAGAGUCGGGUAAUGAAUAUACUUAGCUGGAAGUAUUUUUCGCUUGGAAAUAUCUUUAUACCUUUCUUUCUCUUGUUGAGUCGUGAAUGUGAGGCACCCUCCGAGAUUGGAUUCCGCAAGUGGCAAAACACUCAUGUCUUUUCCAUAUUUCGAUCUUUGUCUCACGGCUUGGCGUGAAUUUGAAACUGUAUUCCAUGGAACCGUAGUGGGAGUGGCAAUCUUGGAUUUCUUUGCGACGGGUGUCUUUUUAGAUGACUUGGAAGUUGAUGCUUUCCUCUUCGGCAUUGUUACAAUAAUUUCACUCACGGAUUUCGAUUCACCCGGUUGGAAUACAGGGCGUAGGCUGGUUGCGGACGAUUGUUGCUCGGUUGGAGCUUGGCGCGAUGGUGGAUUGCUGGUUGUGCGCUGGUGAUACUGGUUGAGUGCGGGAUGCUACGCGUUGGGGCUGAUUCUGAUGCGCGCUGCAGGGGCUGGUUCUGCUGCGGUAGUGACGCUGGUUGUGUUGCGUGCGCGGGCUGGAGCUGAUUCUGCUGCGCGCACGGGCUGCUGGAUUUGUGCGCUAGGGUUGAUUGCACGUGAGAGCUGGGCUGAUGCUGGUUCUGCGCGCUGCUAAGCAAAGGCUGGAUCUGCGCGCGCGGGUUGCUGCGUGGCUGCUCGGUGAAGGUUGGAGAAGAAAACCAAUUCUGUGAAUUAGGGAUUUUGUGAACAGUAAUUUUUUUUGUUUUUUUUUCAAAUAAUAUAUAUAUAUAUAUAUAAAAGAAAGAAAAGAAAGGAAAAAAACCUUUUUUUUCAUUUUUUUAAUUUUCAAAUAAAUAAAUAAUUUUUUUUUUUUAAUGAUGAAUCACUUUGAGACACAAAAAAAAUUUCAGAAGUACUUUUCUAAUAAGCAUGUGGGCACGCCUUAAAACCAUUUUACUUUAAAAAUCACAGAAGUACUUAUUAGUUAAGACGUGGGCACGCCUUAUCAAAAAUUUUCUUCUAGCCAAAAUAAGCAAACACAUUAUUUUUAAAAAAAAAUCUGAAUCAAAAUUAAAAGAAGAUAUAACAAAAACCAAAAUAAAUAAAUCAUUUAGGUUGCCUCCCAAAAAGCGCCUCUAUUUUAUGUUUUUGGCUAGACACAUUUAUGCAUCAAUCUCCAUAAUUAGGACUCUCGAGAGCCACAUCCUCCACAAUAUUCAUCGAAAAACCUUCAUAAAAAGGUUUUAAGCGAUGAUCAUUAACCUUAAAAACUUUGUCAGAGGUCGGACUCCGAAUCUCAACUGCACCAUGAGGAAAAAUAUUAGUAACAAUAAAAGGUCCAACCCAGGAAGAACGUAAUUUACCCAGAAAAAGUUUAAGCUUAGAAUGAAAAAGAAGAACUUUUUGACCAACAGAGAACUCCUUUCUCAAAAUCAUUCUAUCAUGAAAUGUCUUCGUUUUUUUCCUUGUAAAAAACUUCCUGCACUAUAGGGUUAAUAACAUCCACAAAAAAUACCGAAUGUUCCUCACUAGGAUAUUUCAUGGCAUCAUUCAUAUUGAAUUCUAUAACCUCUCCAUCAAACUCCAUAAUGAGAGUCCCUUUAUGUACAUCCAUUUUAGUCCUGCCAGUCUUAAGAAAUGGUCUUCCUAGCAAAAUUGGGACAGAAUUAGAGGAGUUAUCCUCUUCCAUAUCAAGUACAUAAAAAUCGGCAGGAAAAACCAACUCAAUAACUUGUACUAAGACAUCUUCUAAUACUCCAUCAGGAUAUGCAUUAGACCUAUCAGCUAGUUGAAUUAUCACGCCAGUUUCUUUUAAUGGACCAACAUUCAAAGAUGAAUAAAUGGAAUGAGGCAUGACAUUAAUAGAAGCUCUUAGAUCUAACAUAGCCUUUUCAACUCUAACACUACCAAUUUUACAAGGGAUAGUAAACAUACCUGGAUCCUUACACUUAGGAGGUAGUUUCUUUUGGAGAACUGCUGAAACAUUCUCCCCCAUGUGAACUUUUUCAUCUCCUCUUAAUUUUCUCUUGGAGGUGCACAGUUCCUUAAGGACUUUAGUAUAUCGAGGUAUUUGUUUUAUAGCAUCUAAUAAAGGAAUGUUUACCUCAACCUUGCGAAAUGUCUCAAGGAUGUCUUUCUCUUGUUCCUCCUUCUUGGAUUUUGCAAACCGGCUUGGAAAAGGAGGAGGUAUCACAAUAGGUAGGGGUUUUGCUCUGGUGGGUUGCGCAUCUUGAGAUUUAGGCAUCAAUUCAUUCUUUUCAAGCUCAUCUUCUACAUGCUUUGUCACUUUCUUACUAGGCUCUUGCAACUCUUUCGCACUUCUAAGGAUGACAACACUAACGUUUUGCUUUGGAUUCACCUCAGAUUGUGAAGGAAACCUCCCUAAUACUUGAGACUCCAGACGACUCACUGUAGUCGCCAAUUGACUCAUUUGGUUCUCUAAAUUCUGAAGGCUUGUUGUAGUUGCCUGCUGAAAUUGUUGAGUGUUAGUCGCAAGUGAUUUAACAAUUUCUUUAAGACAUAUACCUGACUUGGAGUUUGACUGUGGAGGUGCUGGUUGUCUUGGUGGAUACUGUUGUGGGAAUCCUAAUGGCCUAACUCCAUAGCUGAAGUUGGGGUGAUCCUUCCAUCCCGGAUUGUAUGUUUGUGCAUGAGGAUCAUACCUCCUCUGAGGCAUGCCUGGAAAUCCUCCAACUGCAUUGCUUGUUCAACGGGUUCUUCUUGAAGUGUAGGACACAUAUCAGUUGAAUGACCCAUAUUGUAACAAAUGCCACAAGUCUUCACUUGUUGCACAUUACCUACAACAAACUUUUCCACAAGAAAAGUAAGUUUAUCUAAACGUUGUUCAACAGAAGAAAUAUUUACCUCAUUCACCAUUUUUGAAGUGGAAUCUUGCCUGCUGCCAAAUUGUUGUGCAUUGGCAGCCAUAUUUGAGAUAAACUCCCUUGCUUGAGUAGGGGUCUUGUUCACCAACACGCCUCCACUAACAGCAUCUAUCAUACUCUUAUCCAUUAAUGAUAGUCCUUCAUAAAAUAUUGAAUAAGAAGUUGAUCAGAAAUCUGAUGCUGAGGACAGCUGGCACACAAUUGUUUGAAUCGCUCCCAAUACUCAUAUAAAGUCUCCCCAGGAAGUUGUCUGAUCCCACAAAUGUCUUUUCUGAUGUUGGCAGCUCUUAAAGCAGGAAAGUAUUUCUUAAGGAACUGCUUCUUCAAACCAUUCCAUGUUGUAAUCGAUCCAGGAGGCAAGUAGUACAACCAGUCUUUAGCUAGUCCAUCUAAAGAGAAAGGAAAAGCACGCAGCUUAAUCUGCUCUUCAGUCACGCCUUGUGGCCUCAUACUUGAACACACAACAUGAAACUCCUUGAGAUGUUUAUGAGGAUCUUCACCUACAAAACCAUGAAACUUGGGUAAUAAAUGAAUAAGACAGACUUUAAUUCAAAAUUUACCUCCAAGUCUACAUGUUGAAUGCAGAGUGGUUGCUGAUUCAAGUCUGGUUCAGCUAACUCUCUAAGAGUUCUUUCUACGUGUGCAGCUCUAUCCAUCACUUGUUCUUUUGAAUCGCUAGAUGAUUCAACUAAAUCAGACACCGUAUUUGUUUCAGAAAGCAAAGGCAACGAGGAUCGUUGCUUAGCUCGCUUCGUCUGUUGUCUCAGCUGGCGAGCUGUCUUCUCAAUUUCAGGAUCAAACGAAAGUGUACCUGUACAAGAAGAACGAACCAUACACCAAGUAAAACGUAAAAAGGAUUAAAUAAACGACACCAAUCCCCGGCAACGGCGCCAAACUUUGAUGGUUGUCGAAGUCAGCAAAAAUAAAUACCUACUCUAAAUAAAUUAUGUAUAGUGAUUGAGCAGGGUCGUGUCCAUAGAGAUCGGUAAUUAUUUAAAUCCUUUUAAAAUGUGAAACGUAAAAUGGGGGAAUUGUUGACAAUAAUAAAAAUCAAAUUAAAAUAACAAGAAUGCAAAUUAAAGUUGUAAUUCAAAUUGGAGAAAGCUCUGGUUGAAGGAAUUAACUCAGCUUGAUUCGACUACUAAUCAUUGAUUCAAAUAUAAAUUAUUACUACUUAUGAAUAGACCGAUUAUAGCUACUGAGACCCUCUAAUAGCCAAUCUCUCCUUAACUAGUCGAUAACCAAGGUACGACCAUUGGUUAUUUCCCUAAUCAAUAGACAACCAUAGAUACGAUCAUAGGAUUUAAUUAAUUGACAACCUCAAAAACCAAAGAGACCCAAAUCCUAAUCAACAAACACAUACGAUGGUUCAUUUAAAUUAGAUUGUUUAUUCUCACAACACAACUCUCUGCUAUGUUAUUUGUCACAAACAUUAAAAUCUUCAUACGAUGAAUCCUUUAAUUGACAAUAGAUUAAGUUGAUAAUUAAAUAGUGGCCAAUUAUCUAAUUAACAAACAUAAUCAUGAUAAUAAUUCAGAGAAUAAACAAAUACCCAAAAAGUAAUAAAACAGUUAAAGCAUAAGAAAGAUCUCAUAGUAGUGAUGAAUCAAAGCUUCAUUAACCUUCAACCAGAAUAAUAGGUUUAGUUCUUCAUAGAGAGAAGAGAAAAAUUUAGAUCUAGGGUUUCUCCCUUUUCUCCCCAAAAGUCCCUCUUUUUCACAAUAGAUUCCUCCCUUAAAUACUCUCUCUCUCUUCUCCUCUAGAAUUCUAUUUAAAAUAAAAUACUAAUAUCUGAAAUAUUAAAUUUGUAAUUACAAAAAUAACCAAAAAUAGAAAACACAUUAAACUAAAAACUGCAGGUCCGUAGUUGACAGCACGCACUCACGCCUUAUCAACAAAGUUCUUCUGACGCUCAUAAUUUCUCCAAGAGAACAAUCAUCCUUAAACAUCAUCUUGUAGCUCAAUUUUAUCACCAAUCAAUAAAAUUGUACCUACAAAAGUAAAACACAAGUAAAUCACUAUUAUUAAGUGCAAAACAUCGAUAUUAAGGGAAGUAAACAAUGCAAAACUAGUGCAUAAAUUGCACUCUAACACCUCUUGAUUGUAUCAUGGAUAAAUCUGAUUUAGAUCUGAGUCCAUAUUUUAACAGAUUCAUCAACCCAUUUUCAGACAUGCCAUGAAUUGUAAAUUAAGCCAAAUAUUCACAAAAAACAACAAAGAAACAAAAAACAGAUUCUGUGUUCAGCCGCAAAUGGGCUGUUUCACAGCCAAGCAAGAAAACAAAUGAAGAAAAUUAAUUGCUUUCCACUGGUUCAAGAAUUAAUACCAUUAUUGAUUGCUUCUCUAUUGGAAGAAAUAAUUUUGAAUAAAGCACAGCAUCAUUACUAUAAAUGUGAUGAUAAUUUUCAAUCAUCGGAAGAUGAUAAUUUCUUCAUACAUGCGUUCUAUGGCCUGACUCUGUUUUAUGUCUAAAACUCAAGAAAUUCGACAAUUCCUUUGUUCUACCACAUCGUUCAUUCAACAAUAAAUAAUCAGAUUCUGUCACGUAUAUUUUUAUUUAGAAAAUUGCAAAAAAGUUAGUCGCUAGAAAAACUAAUUGUAAUUGAUUAAAUAAACACUGGGCUUGUGCUCGCUAUAUUGAAUCAAAACAAUACAUAUUUAGUGAAGGAAUCUCAAAAUGUGCUCACUAGCUAUGACUCGUGUAGGACAAACAUUCACAAACUGACCUUGUUGAUUGAUUGCUUUUGCUUGGCAAAUCAUAGAGUUGAUGCAACACAUCAGGUGGGAUGCACGUUCCUUCGUGGGCAUAUUAUCCAACACGUCCUAGGCAUGAGAAUAAUACCAUAAUUCCUCAACAACUCCCCUCUUCAUCUGAUCAUAUUCAUAUAGAUAUUUGUCUUUCUUCCUAAAAUCCUCAAUCCAAGCUUGCCAAUUCAUUUAAUAAUAUAUUUAUAUUGAUUUUUAAAAUAUAAUACCAAAUUUGGGGUUACUAUGGUCAAGAAUAUAAUUUGGAGGGGGGGGGUGGGGAGCGCAAAAUGAAACACUUAAAGUCAAUUAUUAUGUGAUCACUUACAGUUGAUUAUUGAGGGAUUACAAACACUUAAUCCAUCCCAUCAACAACCAAAAAAAAAAAAAAAAAGAAAGAAAGAAAGAAAAGACUCAAGAGUAUUUGCAAAAGAUAAUUAUAAAGAGUGACUAUGGUCAACGGUGGAGAAUGGAAUCAAAGACAUUAUCAAAGGUAACAAAAGCUUCGAUCAUCUAAACACAGAGACUUUUCUUCAAGUAUAGUUAAAUAAUAAUUUAUAUUACUUAAUGAAACAAUAAGUAUUUAUGACAAAUAAGAUACAUGGAAUAAACCAACCUCUCCGCUUAUCAUUUUCUCUAUUGUGUUUUUUUUUUCCUCUGUCUCUCCUUCUUGUUGUUUAGUAGAUGACACAACAUUUCAUUUUGUUUAUUCAAUUUGCUGUUGGAGCAUCUUCCAGGAAAGUACAGAAAUGUAAAUAUACAGGUAAUAUUAUAUUUAUGAAUUAUUUAUAUGUACAGUACAUACUAAGUAACUAAAAUAAGACAAAUGAAAUAAUAAAAAUAUAAAUAUAAAUGAGAUAAGAUCAAAUAUAUGAUAUGAUGAUACUAAGUAAACAAUAUUGUUUAUGGUAGGCUAGUCAUUUGACCAGAUGAGAAAACCAUCUAAAACAUUAUUGCUGUAAUGUUAUACAUUAUGUACGAAACAGGAAUGUAAGCACAGUAGUAAUAUAAUGUUAUACAUAUCAAAAUUAUGUCUACAAAUAAAAAAUAAAUCGCUAGUCGGCGUCUCUGGUUCUGACGCAAUCAAUUUCAAUUUAAGCAUACCUCUGUUGACAACCUGAGUAUGCUUCAUGACAUUCGAACCAGAGCAGAGAAAAUCAACUGCAUAAAUAAUACAGGCCUAGUCACGACAUCGGGAGAGUAAACAAAUGGACUGCAUGGAGAUGCCCCAACUUGGCCAUGAUGCAAGUUGAACACUGACGGAGCUUGUAAGCGAACAGGAGCACCAAGUGCUGGAGUAAUUCGUGAUCACAAAGGGGCUUGGAUCUUUGGCUUCGGAAUGAAUACAGGGCAUUGCUCUGUUACGGUGGCUGAGUUAUGGGGUUUAUAUCAUGGUCUAAAACUGGCAUGGGAGCAUGGGAUAAAGUGGCUGGUGGUGGAAAUUGAUAGCCUAUGUGUCACUGAACUGGUUAGGAAGCCUGUGGAUACUGACAAUGAGUACACUUCCCUUCUUCAGCCUAUCGAGGAGGUUAUGCAGCGUAAUUGGAACAACAUUAUCAUUAACGAUGUCUACCGUGAGGCAGAUUUCACAGCAGACUAUCUCGCUAAUUAUGCUCUAUCUCUUCCUCUAGGUGUUCAUCAUCCUGCUAAUCCCCCACCUGGUGUGACUCCUCUUUUGUACCAUGACUUGUAUGGGGUGGCUUACCCGCGUUCUGUUUUAUUCUAGCUCUUUUUAGAGCCUCAUCAUAUCAAAAAAAUAAAUAAGUAAAAUUAUGAUAAAGAUAUGCGCGUAUGAGAUUAUUUUAGAGACUUUCGGGGUGUCAAAAACUUGACUCUUCUUGAUUAUGGAUUACAAGCUGUUCCGAACUUAGAAUCAAUAAAUUGAAUAGCUGUCGAGCACACUUGUAGAAAGAGUGACCCUAUGAGCACCCCUUUGUCAUUCUUAAAAAAACCCAACUUCAAAUACAACUAUAUAUAAGGAUAAAUAACAAUUAGUCAACCAAUUAGAUCUUUUUUCCUGCAAAUUAACUGUAUUCAUUAACGUCCCUUUUUUUUUUUUUUUAAUUUGUCAUGACUUCCUGCGUAUUGAAAUUAAAUUUUCUUAAAUUUAAAAUAUUCUAUUAUUCUUUUUGUAGUUCUUAUUGAUUGAAUAAUUUUUUUUAAUUACAGAUUACGUACAAUUAUAUUAUAAUUUAAAAUAUGUGUAAUUUAAUUCAAUAAAUUAUAAUUUAAAGUAUUUUAAAUUUAAGUCAAUGAUUAACAUUAAAAAAUUCAUCACCGAUAAAAUUUUUUAAUUCGUAUGUAGGAUUGAUUUGAAAUUAACAACACUGCUAAAAAAAGAAAGAAAGAAAGAAAUUAGAAGAGUGUAUAAAAAAAGGACAUUUUUUAAAUUAAAAGUAAGAAUAACCUUUUUUUUUUAAAAAAAAAAAGAGGUCUUACAAGGAUAUAAGAGGGGUGUCAAUAAUGCGACUCCGUGAAAAGAAUUAACAAGAAAAUAAUAAAAAAUAUUUUUACAAUUAACUCACACAUCUAUUGAAACAAGAACCUAAAACUUAAAGUCUUAGAAAAGCUUCGCGGUGAAGCUAGACCUCAACUUUGAUAAGAAAAUAAUAUUAAAAAUUAGAUGAGUGAUUAAAAAAGGGAUAUUUUGGGAGUUACCAAUAAGAAUAACUAGAAAAAAAAAGUAAUAAAAAAAGGUUUUAUGAAAAGAUCGGGGGGUCAAUAAUCCAGCGUAAAAAGAACAAAAGUAAAAAAAACUCAAAUUAAAUAAGCACAGCUAAAUUCAACGAACUCAUGAAGGCCCAAAAAAGUUCCAACAUCAAAAUAAAAGGGAUAAGAAUCACAAAUGUUCACAAUGAAGACAACCAUGAAUAUAUUUUUUUUUGGGUCAAAAAUCUUUUUGGUCAAAUAUGUGAUAUGAUCCUUGUACAGAAAAAUAUGUGAUAUGAUCUUCAUACAUAAAUGAUAAUUUUACUUCAUCAAAGUUCAUUUGUCAUUCAAUUUCAUUUUUCUCUAUAAAUUGUUAUAAUUUGUACAGUUUCUUUAAUUCGCAGCUUUUUGUGAGACUUAAAAUUGCUUUAAUUUGAAAUGUCAAAUCAGAAGGUGCUAGUGUUAUUCUAGGGUAAAAUCUAUGCAAAUUCAAUAAGAAUCUCAACAAGCGAAAAUCCAUAUCAGCUUCAUGUGCUGUAUAAUUUAGAAUAAGCUUAGUUGGCCUACUCAAAUAGAAAGAACAGUAGAAGCUGUACGCCAAAAGAGUGAAAAUAAUAAUAAUAAUAAUAAAAGAAUAUAUUUAACCAGAUUGCAAUGAGAUACUUAUUUUAUUGUUCACUCAUAGCAAUUUGUAUGCAAUUCAUCAAUUAUGACCCCAGUCCUCAGCCCUUUCAAGUGUACCCAAAAACUCGGACGUUUAAUAAUGGAUACAAAAUGACAGAAUGCUGCAAUGAAACGGAGAAACAAGUAAGAAUGCAAGACAGAGGACUAACUUUCCUUCUUUUUUUAAUUUUCAACUCGUGAGAAAUCCCAAAAUACAAAGCUUCAAUUUGGUCGAGCAACACAUUCUGAUUCUGACCAACUUCUGAAUCCAAGUAGAGCAUUUCUAGUAAUUUAACGUGAAAAUAAAUUGCAAGAUUAGAAUAAAUAAAAACUAAAUGAAAUACCAUGUGCAAAUUUAAAGAGCAUAAAUUGAAAUUGGGAUGUGUACUUACACUGUUACACUAGGCUUUGCCCUUCAUUUGAAUUGUCUAAAUCUUUUAGGUGGUGGUUCCUCAUCUUCAUCGCAGCAGCCACUGCCACUGGCUUCAGCUGUCCCAGCACUUUCUGCAAGGCCUCGCUUUGAUGUUGUGGCUACUUCCAUAUUAGAUCCAACAAAAUCGUGAGGGGAUUCAUACAGAUUAUAAGAAGUAAAAUGAGUCCACUGCUUUGUUGCUUGGUCCAACUCCUCAACUUCGUGCAUAUAAACUGGAUGGAAGCCACACCUCUUCACGUUCAAAUCAGUACCUCGCCGAUAUAGACCUUCUUCAAUAAAUGACAACUUAAAAUGAUUAGAUUCAAAAUUCCACUUAUCAUUGUAGCAUUCUUGUCGAGACAAAUAGAAUAGCCAAAGAUGGUCUGACCCAGCAUGACCGAAGUUCCCUCUAGAACGAAUAAAAUGACUGACAUUAGAACCAUCCAUGGAGCAGUGUAACUCAACUUGGGAAUACGAACGCCAUAAAUAGGUACCAGUUGAAUGCUUAGGGACAUGAAAAACACAGCAAAUAGCAUAUCCCACAACCUUAUUCAUAUUAUACAAAUAUGAAGGCCUUGUGACUGUUAUUGAAGAACCCUCAUUCUGAUACAUGAACCACUCUGGAAUUUCACUUCCUGGAACAACAAUGCUAAAUUUAUGGCUUGGAUCUGACACUGCCUGCAACAGAAAAACAAAAAAUGAACAGGUCCAUACCAUUGCUUAAUUGUCAGGCAUAAUCUUGGCAUAGCUGGAAGAAACGGAGUGAGAGACUGACCUCAAGGUACUCUCGUAGCAUCGAAAUUGCAAAACUGUUGUUCCCUGGCAAUUUCAAGCUAUCUAUACAAUUAAUCAUUGUGUGGUCGGACUUACCUAGUUUUAAAGCACCAGAUAAUGUCACCAAUGAAGAACAACCAUUCACUGUAACUACGUUUAUGCUAGAUGGAAGUUGUGGCAGAGAUUGAAGCCUUUUACAAUCUUCCAACUCUAGGUUUUUAAGAUUUAAAAGACCGUUAAUACUUGCUGGCAGCGUAACAAAUUUGUUUUUACUCAGAUACAACUCGUUUAAUGAGUGUAAGUUGCCAAUAUCACUCGGGAUUGCUCCUUCCCCUAGGCCACAGUCACUGAGAUCUAAUUUUGUUAAAGAGCACAAACCUGACAGAGAAGGCAACAUUAAAUCCACAGGACAUGAACUCUUUCCCAUCAAAUUGAAGGGAAGGAACAAAUGCCAUGAUGCAGCUGAUGGUGGCCCAUUGCACCCUAAAAAAGAGAGUGUUCUAAGAUUGUCCAUAAGAAAAAUGGAGGAUGGAGGUCGUCUUAUAGCUGUUCCGCUUAUAUCAAGUUCUUCCAAACUUUCUACUUGCCCAAGCGUCUCUGGCACAUUUUCAAGUUUGGAGCAGCCAGAGAGAUUCAAAGUUUUUAGUGAUUUCAAACCGUUUAUAUUGCUGGGAAGUCUCACGAGACUUUUGCAGUCAUUCAAAGUCAACUGAACAAGUCCAGAUAGAAGUUCAAUUGAUAGUGGCAGUUCUUUGAUAUCAGUUCCAUCCAAAAGAAGCUCCCGCAGACACUCCAUACUUCCCGCAACGUGUGGAAAUUUCCUCAAUUUCAAGCAACCAGAAAGAACAAGUGUUUUAAGCGAUUUCAUAAAAAUCUUUCCCGGAAGAGUUGUAAGACUUGUACAACCUUUCAAGUUCAACAAAAUCAGCUUAUUGUGAAGCAGUAAAGAUGGGUGAAUCUCACGUAACCUUGUACAUCCUUCAACAUCCAACUCCUCCAAAUUUGGGACCUCUGUGAAGUCUGGAGUCUUAAUCAGAUUCUCUGAAUGGCUGAGUUCCAUGACUUUCAACAUGUUUAAAGGCUGUUGAAAACAAAAAGGAGCUGAAAUGAUAUUUCUUAAUUUAUAUACAGCUAUAAUAAUAAAAUUGUCAUCAACAAUUAUUCACUAAAAAAAUAAAUUAGUGACAAAACAUUGAUCUUACUUUGAUUCCUUUCCAUAAUUCUUCAAUGCAGCUGUAACACAUUUUAAACUCCACAGUUUUAUCCAAUUGCAAAUUUGAUGGCAAAGAUUUCCAAGGAUAUCCAUGCCAAUCAAGUAACCGCAACUUGUUAGAGAGGUGUUCAAGGCCUUGAGGAAGUUGCAGACCACAGAUUUUGAGCAAUCGUAGGUUGGUCAUCUUUGAAAAUGCUUUCGGACUAGCACUUAAAUAAACCUUAUCUUGGAGAAAGUAAUAAUCAUCAAGUAUUAUUCCUUCAACUACUUCAGUUCCCUAAAUAUUAUCAACAAAAUAGUUCAUUAGAGAUUUUACUGGGUAAAAGAAAAAAAAUUUUCCGAUCCCCUUUAUUAGUCACUUACUGUGUUUUGUGACAAUACAUGGCAUAGGUCUGCUUCCUCCCACAAUCUGCUGCGUUUUCCAGGCUCCCGUGGGGACUGCCUCCUAACAAUUUGUCGACCCAUUUCUAGUAACAAAUCAUGCAUCCAUAGUCUGUCGCUCUCACAUAUUGUUAAUAGAGAUUUUUCAAUAAGAACACCAAUGCCAAUUACCGGUUCAAAACCACAGCUAUCGAGAAUUUUUGACACGUAAUCUCUCUUCUCCCCUUUAAAGAAACACGCAACAUCGAGAAAUAUUUCCUUCUCUGCUUCCUUCAAGCCAUCAAAACUUAUCUGGAGUAUAUCUAGAAUCUCAUUUUCAGGUUCUCUUUUUAGUCUUUCCAAGGUACUUGUCCACUCGUCCACAGGUCUACCAAACAAAAAAGAACCCAAAACCUUGAGAGCUAAUGGAAGACCACCAGCAUAAUUUACAACAAGUUGAGAUAGAUGAACAUAUUCUUCCCUGGGCUUCUGUGUUUCAAAGGCUUUCAAACAAAAGAGUUGGAGUGCCUCAUCAUAAGUUAGUGCCUCAAGCUUAAAAACUUCCUCGACUCGAUGCAACUUCAACAAAUGUUCAUCCCUCGUUGUUAUUAUGAUUCUGCUGCCCGGGCCAAACCAAUCGCGCUUUCCAGCUAAUCUUCGUAGUUGCUCAACAUGAGCGACAUCAUCGAUCACGAGAAGGACCUUUUUUUGUCGCAACCUACGUCCUAUCAUGUUAAUACCGUCAUAGACAUUUCGUAUGUUAUUAUCCGCAAGCUUCAGUAAAUCAGAAAUGAGCUGCUUUUGCAAAGAGAUUACACUGCCUUCUUUAUCAUAUUUUUCUUUAACAUCAGCAAGAAAACUACUACCAUCAAACUCGUGGGAGAUCAAGUCAUAAACAACUCUUGCAAGAGUUGUCUUUCCUAGACCUCCCAUACCCCAUAUCCCUAUCAUACGAACAUCAUUGCACCCUGCACCCAUAAGAAACUUCAGUUUCUCCAAGCGUGAUUCUAUUCCUACUAGCUCCUUAAGAAUCUCUGACUCUGUACGAAUUUUACUUGAUAUCACAUUGACAAUUUCCUCAAUAAAUUCUGACUCAUUGCUGCAAAUUGAAAACAACAAGAGAAGAUUACUGUUGUUAAAUUAAAGUUUGGGUAAACAUAGUAACAAAUCAAUUCCAUAUUAUGUAUACAAUCCAAACUAUAUAAUAUUCACUUCAUCAAAUUGAAGUCGUAUAAGCAAGUAACAUAUAUUAUCGCGUGGGUCAGAAACAACAAGAAUGAGAAAAUUCAAUUUCUUUUGCUGUUUUCUUCUCAUGUACAUAUUAUUUCUUUCUGUAGGAGGAUAAAUUAGAUUAAAAGAGAAUUUAUAUCAAUUUUUUAUAAGAACAAUUAUUGCUCACAUGAAAUCAAUUAGAUGAUGAUGAUAAAUGUCCCAAAUGAUGUGUCAUUUAAUAAGUGGUUGAUAAUUCUUUAGAAGAUUCGAGUGAGUUAAUUAUAUUAUUUCAAGAACUAAUUGAUGGACGUCACAUCAUUUUGGGAUGGUUUUUUGAAAUAAAAAAUUUGAGAUGUGUAGCACUACAAUUAGCUAAAUAUGUAAUGAUAUUGAUGGUAGCAUUGGGCUUGCGAUUAUUGUCAUUGUUAUUAUUAACAGUUACUAAAGAGUCAAUCUAAGAGUAAUGUUUUAUUUUUAUUUUUUAGAUGUGAUUAAUAGAGCACAAAGCAACACAAGAUACAUAUGUAUAGUCUUCAAUAGUUCAGAACACAAUAAUUUAUAGUAUCAACAUCCAUAUCUAUUCAUUUGCAAAUAUUAAUUCAUUUAUAGCACUACUACUUUAAUAACGACACAUCAUAUGAUAUAUAUACAUAUUAAACAGAAGCUGUUAAAUUGAAAACAAUGUUGAAUCAUGAAUACUAAUCAUGCAGAACAAAAUAAUAAUAAUAAUAAUAAUAAUAUUUGAGAAUAAGAAUGAUUACCUGUCCUUCAAUUCCCAACCUGAUAUAUUGGCCACCACUUUUAAAGCGUGUCUCCACUUUUGUACUUUUUCUAUAUUAUCCCUGAAAAAUUCUUCGUGUUUGGUAAAAGCUUCUCCAAAACUUGUUGUCUGUUUCCUUACAACAGUUGGUUCCACAUCAUAGAAAAUUGGAAAAAUCUGAUCCUCUCUAUUUUUGUAUUCAACAAUCUUGACAAGUUCAUCCAAGCACCAAGUGGAAGAAGCAUAGUUUCUUGAGAGAACAAUAAUUGAAAUUCUUGAUUCUUCAAUUGCUUUAAGGAGAUUUGGUGCAAUGGAUCCUCCUUUCUCAAGUUGUUUGUCAUCCCUGAAUACAUAAAUUCCUUUAUCGUUCAAAGCAGUAUAGAGAUGACUUAUGAACGUUUGACGGGUGUCUUCUCCUCUAAAGCUUAAGAAGGCAUCGUAUUUCCUAUGAGAGACAUCUUGGCAGCUCGUGGAAGCCAUUAUAUUAAUUUGUUCCUGAAAAUUUAGAAUAAAUCAAGUGAAAUCCAGUGAACGCACAAUACCAUGCAAACAAUAAGAUUCAUUCAAAAUUAUGGGCAUCACAAAAAUGAAAAUUUUAUAAAUUAUAUAUAAAUUCUACUUUUUUUGACAACCUACACAGUAACUCGUAUGAAUAGUGACUCUAAAUAGUAUUGCAUGAACAAUAUUGUAUAAACAGUAAUCCGUGAACAGUAAUUUCAGGAUUAAUUAAUUAGAAAAAUUAAUAUAUCUACCGUUUUAAUUUGUUUAUGCUGAUUAAAAUAGAUCUAAAUUCUUUACACAUGAUAAACCCCAAAAUGUAAUAUAAAUUUUUUCUAGAUGCUAAUCGGGGAGUGUGCACACCAAUCUCUGCUUAAGCAAAUCUUGAUUAUAGCCUCUAAAAGAAAGCAGAGUGUUUGUACGAAAUUAACAUUCAAAGAUUUCUUUCAAUUUUUACAUUUUUUUCUUUUACAUCAAGAUGUGCAAAAUUAAUUCUGAAAAUAAAAGAGAGAGAUUUAUGAGAUAGAACUUACAGCUUUUGAGUGUAUUGCAGGAAGCCCUUAAAUGAAUUCCAAUGCAGUAUUAUUAUUAUUAUUACCACAACUCCGAUGCAGUGUUUGAUUCAAAGAAUUUAUUCAUGUAAAUAUCCUUUGGGAAAAAAUAAAUUAAGCAAUAGGAGUUGUGUUGUUGUCAAAAAGUGGCCUCUUUAAUAAUCAAUAAAUGUUGUCACUGCUUACUCAGACGAUGAACUUAGCAUCGAACUUCCUGGAAGCUUCAAGGAAUCUAAACGAAAAUUAUCAGGCUUUUCAAUUGUAUACGCAUCUUUGCCAUUCUGCCCAUUAGCCGUGUUGAAACCAUUGGAUUCCAUAUUUCCAUUAAAAUGGAGUGGAAUCCAACGGUUGAUAUUAAUAACUAAUUAAAAAUAUUAAAAUUAUCAGCAAUCUAUAGGAAUUAAUGGUAAACAUAAUGAUCUUUAUUACUGAAACUUUAAUGGAGUCCAGCCAGGUGGGAAUCAAUAUGCUUUUUACUGUUUGAAUUUGAUUUUAAGUAGCAAAUAGCUUCUUUUUUUUCAACUUUUAUGUUUGAACUUGUUUCAUUUUUAGUUUUAAUCAAUUCGAUUGACCCAGCACAAUGAUUUAAGGAUAAGAUUGGGUUGGGUUGAACAUAUUUAUUUGAUUGGUUGGUUUGAUUUUUUUUAAACUAAUCAAUAGUGGGUGGGUUGGAUGACCACCCUUACAGAAAGAAAAAUUAAAGUUCUUUAUCAUAGAAAUAUGCAAAAUCCAUACACUUAAAAAAAAUUAUGCUAAACUGUAAUUACUGUUUAAAAGCUUCCAGUGAAAAUUGAUUUAACUUAUAAAAUCUGCGUUGUGUAUAACACAGCCUGAUCAACAAAUAUUGUCAAAUGUUAUUUAUCGAGAUCCAAAGAAAAAAUUUACAAACCUGAAGAUUCAUCGAGACUUACGAAAUUCAAGGAGAUAAAAAUUAUUAAUUAUUAGUGUUAAAAAAGAGAAAAUAGAGAGAAAGAGAAAAAUAAUGUAACAUAAUUACUUUAAUAAUUUCUUUUAACAUAAAAUUAUUGAACAACAAAUUAAUGAUCUUCUUCUUAACUAAACAAACUAAUUGACAGCCUCUCAUUUACUUCCAAAAUACAAUAAAAAAGUUUUUCAGAUGAUGAUUGGAGAGCGUGUUUGCCGACUUUUACUUAAGCAAAUCUUAAUUAGAGCCUCAAAAUGAAGCAAAUCAAGGAGUUGAUACAUAACAAAUUAAAUUACCAUUCAAAGCUUUCUUCCAAUUUUAUUUAUUUCCUUUUUUAAACAUCCAGGAUGUGCAAAUUAAUUCUGAGGAUAAAAGAGAAAUGUAUAAAAUAAAACUUACAGCUUUGAGUGUGUUGAACGAAGCCACCUAAUUGAUCUGAUCAACUCCAAUGAAGUGUCUUGAUUCAAAGGAAAGAAGUUAAUCUCAGGCAAAUAUGUUUCUUUUGGAAACAAAAAUGCAACUUCCAGCUGCCCCAGAUUAAUUUAUAUGUAUUCCAAAAGCAAGUCUUGGUCAUCUCAGAAAGUGGGGGUGAAAAAAGCAAAAAAGCGAAAGGAAUCUAAAUUCUAAAGGUUAUACUUUUUAACUACUUCAUUACCUCAUAGGGGCGAAAAAAAGAAAAAAAUUAGAGAGGUGUGAUUAGAUUUAAACGGGGUGUAUUUUGCAUGCCGCGCUAAAAGCUUAUAGUUGAGAGAAUAAAACUCUUUUUAUGUUUUUUUAAAGUUAUUUAUAAGAUAAGGUAAUUUUGCAUCCUUCUAAACUUAUUCGGCAAUAACCCCAAAUGAUCUUUAAGUAUAAGAAGUAAAGUUUAAAACUAGAUAAAGUAUGUAUAAAACUGAAAAUUAAUUCUAAUUUUAUUCAUAUACCAUAUAUGUCUAGUAAUAUAAAAAUAACUUUUAUUUUAUUUUGGCUUGAUCUACAUUUUUAAAAAAAAUUAAUUUUUCUGUGUAGUAAACAAAUAUUAUGAUAGAAAAUGAAAAAAAUUAUAAAUUUCCAAGGAUAAAUAUAGAAUUCAUGUUUAAAUCAAUUCAAUAAAAUUUAUUCUGAUUAUUUAAAUACAGUUUUUUUUCAGUUAAUGAGUGAUUUUUUUGGCUUGAUUAGUGAUUUUUUUUGCAUAAUUAAUAAAUAAAUCAACUAUUUUCUAGUCUAGUUAACGUUUAAUGUUGUUUUAUAAGUUUUAUAUUAUUUUUACAAGUAUUUUUAAUUUUUAAUUUUAAAACAUCAAUUUACCACUUUUAUAUUGAUUUAUUUAUUUUACUUUUUAUUUACUAGCCAUAUGUAUAAAUUAUAAAAAUUGCUGACUCUAAUUUGUAUGCUUAUUGCUAGUAAUCCACCUCUGCUGUUGGCGGUAACUAGUUAGGAAUUCCAUGAACAAAUUUCACAAAAGGUUUGAACAAAUUUCACAAAUUUUCCAAAAAUGUAGAAGUCCCUCUAGUUCAUUUCCAUUCCCUCUUUUCUAUUUUAAGAAGUAUACACUACGGAUCAUUCUAAUUGCGAAUUUCGAUUCUUAAGUCCCAUGAGUAAAAGCACCAUUAAUGUAGGUCACGAGAGUAACCAGAGUGGUAAAAGGCCGGUAAAGACAACUGUUAGGAAAAGAAUUACAGCAAAUUGGCCGAAACUUAUUACUGACAACUAAUUGUAUUUGUAUACGAAACAAAGUGUUCCAUGCAAGUACGGGGUUGGAUUAGACUUACCCAAGAGUUUAAAAAAUAAUUAAUUAAGUGUUCUCACAGUAUGUAAUACUUUUCUAAAAUAGAUUUGGGUUAAAACACUGUCUUUGGUCUUAAUUUCAAUGCGGAAAAAAAUUUCACACUUUCAAAAGAAAAAAAGAAAUAAUUUGAAAGACAGUGAAGCAAUUAGCUAGUUACAAAUAUCAUAAACAUGUAAGUUGAGCAAUUAGUUUGGAUUCGCAACAAGCACUCGUCGCCUUUCUCAUGCCAAGAAUCUAUUUUGUCAGUCCCAAGUACUUCAUUGCAAACGACUUGCUAAGCUCCCUCAUCAGAUUGCCAAUCUUACUAGCAUCCUGGCCAACAAUUAACAUGUCAUCCACGUAAAGCAAAAGGAUAAUAAAACCAUUAUCACUAAACCUCUUCACAAAAACACAAUGAUCGCACGUAGUCUUGUUGAAAUCACGAUUCUCCAUGAAAGAAUCCAACUUCUUAUACAACUGUCUUGGUGCUUGUUUCAGUCAAUACAAACUUUUCUUCAACUUGCACACAAGUUCUUCUUUACCUUUGACACUGAAUCCUUCAGGUUGCUCUAUGUAUAUUUCCUCCUCCAAGUCACCGUGUAAGAAAGUUAUCUUUACAUCGAGCUGUUAAAUUUCGAAGUUCAAGCUAAUUGCUAGUCCCAGAACAACUCCGAUAGAAGACAUCUUUACCAUAGGAGAAAGUAUUUCUUCAAAAUCAAUACCUACCUUUCUUCUGACCAAAACCCUUCACAACCAAUUUAGCCUUAUAUCGCUGCUGUGAGUUGUUUUCAGUCUUCAACCUAUAAACCCACUUGUUCUUCAGUGCUCUCUUUCCCUUAGGAAGCUUCACUAAGUCAUAAGUGUGGUUCUCAUUUAAGGAUUUCAUCUCUUCUUGUAUGGUUUUAACCCACUCACUAUUAUGCUGGUGAGACAUGGCUUUUUCAAAACAUUUUGGCUCCCUUACAUCUGUAAGCAUCACAUACUUAUGUGGAGGAUAUCUAGUAGAAGGUCACCGUUCUCUAAUAGAUUUUCUCAAUUAUGGCUCAACUGGUGGUGUUGGUGGUUCUAGAGGUGCCUGGUCAACUGUUUUUGCUGGCAAACCAAGCAAAUUUAUUUGGACUUUGGGCUUUGGGGCCCCCAAAUGAGAUGAACCUAACAAGUGGAAUCCGUGCUAGCAGCUUGAGCUUCUGAUUUUCCUGCCAAAACCAAAACUCCGGACUUUAUGAAUUUGAAUCAUUCUUCGUCAAUUAAGGCUUGUAAGUUUUGCUUGAAUUUGAAGUAGUCAUGCAAAACGGAGAAACUUUGCGAAAGUGAAUGUGCAUGGAAAUGGAUCUGCGCCAAAAGUAAAGCCAAGCAUUCAAGCAUGAUAAAAUUAAGAUCAUGUUAUUAGAGAACCUACUAUCAAAACUGAACCUGUGAUCGAGCCAAAAGAAGUGGCCACAUAAGAUUUGAAUUUGCUAUUAUUUGAUUUAACUUUUUCAGUUGUUAAUUGUAGGACUGGUAAGAAUCUGAGCCUAAGUUUCCUCGACCAGUUAUGCUUUUCAUUACUUGCUAACCUUAUCAACAUUCUUGUUCCAUGAGUCUAAUAACAUUAUGUUGAACAACACCGAAAGCAAUUCACAUAGAAGUAAUUGUUGAAAAACUGAGGAUGAUUAAAUUGUUCAAAACUAAAAUUAUGUGGGCAACAGAAGAAUUUUACUAAAAUGAAGGACUUCAUUGAUAUUAUUUACCCUACCACAAUUUGAAAAUGAGGAAUGGAAGACUCAUUCUAAGGAGGAGGUAGUAGUGAGUCUCUUAUUUGCUGGAUUGAUCAUUUUACCCCUCUCCAAAAAUCAAAAUGUUCAUUUUAUCCUCAUUUAUGAUUAAUUAAUAUAUUAUUAUAAUUAAUUAUUAACAAUAAUUAUUAAUAGUACUUAUAUUUAAUUAAUAAUAAUUAUAAAAUAUUACUAUAAUUGAAGAAUUAAUAUAGUUAUUAUUAUUAAUUAAUAUAUUAAUUAUUAUUAACAAUAAUUGUUAAUAGUUAUAAUUUUUAAUAAAUAAUCACAAUAAUUAAUAUUUAUUAUUAAUUAAUAUAUUUUAUAAUUAGUAUAUAAAUAUAAUUAAAUUAUGUAUUAUUAACAAUAAUUAAUAAUAAUAAUAAUCAUCAUCAUCAUUUUUAAUAAAUAAUCGCUAUAAUUAAAAUAUAAAAUAAUAAUGAUGAGAAUAGUUCAUUAUGUACUUUAUAGUAAUAUGUUACAAUGUAACUCAUUCUAAUUCUAAUUCAAAGACAAAGUAAAUACAUUAAUGGCAAUUCAGCUCAUUCCGAUUCUAAUUCCUGCAGUUCAAGUAAAAAACGUAUUUUAAUUCCCAUUAUCCAUACUCAUUUCAGCUCAUCCCAUUCUUACUCAUUCUAAUUUCAGCCCAUUCCGAUUCCAAUUUAGUAAACGCAAUAUAAAAUGGAUUGGAAUCCAAUGGUUGAUAUUAAUAAUUAAUUAAAAGUAGUUAAAACUAUUGACAAUCUACAGGAAUGGUAACUUUUAUUCGUUAGAUUUCAGUUGGGUCCUUACAAGAUAUUGGAUCAUUUUGGUAAUAUUAUAGUUUUUAAAAUAAUUACUAUUAAUUGUAUUAUAGAAAUAAUCAACUAUAAAGAUAACCAAUUAAACGUUUGAUGCAAUUUUCAAAAGUUCUAUGAAUUUUAAAAACAAUUGUAUGCGUUUUGUAAAUCUUACUAUUAAAUUAUAAUAAUAUUAUAAAUAACAUGAAUGUAAAUGAUUGUAAGUGAACAUAAUUUUGAAUAAAAUUUAUUUACAUAUUUAUAAUAUGCAUAUAAAUUAUUUUUUAUUGUGUAUAUAUAAUAAUUGAUAUUUAAAGUAAAUAUUUUUAUUAUUAAUUUUAUUUUUUAUUUCGCUAUCUCAAUAUAAUUAGUAAUAAUAAUAAUCUCUUUAAAGUUAAUGAUUUACUUUCCUAGUUAGUAAGGAUAAUUCAAUAGAAUAAAUUUAAAAAUCAAUUUAUGGUAAUGAAAAUAAAUAUGCAAAAUAAAUGAAUAUCCGCAACACGAAGAUUUUUUUACGAGGAAACCUUUGAUCCUCACGAUUUAGGAUAAAAAUCUCAACAUGUUAUUAUGUCCACUUGUAGAUAGAACAAUUCACUAUGAAAAUAAUGUAAGUUAAAGUGGAUCAACAACACUCACAAAGCUUUGCACCUGUAAAUAUCUCAAAUCUACAUUCUAUUGUGUUAAGCCUCACAAACUGAAAUACGUUAUCUAAAAUACAUUUGAACAUUUUCCAAGUGGAUUUAGGUGGGCAGCCUUGCCAAGAUUUAGGUCUUGGGUUUGAGUCUCAUGUAGCUACGUCUCAUAGACGUUAUUUUGGUGCUAUGAGGAAUCUCCUUUUGUUCCUGUUUGGGUUUCUUUGUCGUAUUUUCUAAUGCAUUUUAAUCAUUACAAAGAUGCCUUAUUUUUUACUGCUAAUGCUAUUGGUAAGCCUCUACGGGUGGACCAUGCUACUACUAUUGUUAAUCGGCCCUUAAUCGCUCGAAUUAUGAUUGAAUAUGAUGUUUUGCGGUCGUUGUUGCCCAAACUUUGGACUGGUGAGGGUGAUGGCAGUUGCUGGCAAGAUUGUCAAUUUUUAGUGUGUUCCUUUAUAUUGUGUCUCGUGUAAGCAUCUUGGCAAGCUGCUGAUGCUUGUUUUGUUGCUAAUCCUGGGCUCUAGGAGCCCCAGCAGCCUGUUGGUCAGGUGCAGGAUGUUGUUGUUCGUGAUAAAGGCAAGGUGCCUAUAUCUGAUGCUAUUGUGCAUUUAAAGGGGGAUCGUGAAGAUGUUAAGCCAUUGAGGCCUGGUGCUGGCAAGGAUGUUUCGGUAGAUGCUUAGCCGCCUAUUUAUCAGGAUACUACAGAAGAUGGGUAUGAUCCAGUUUUUAUGAAAAGAGUUCAGACAUCUAAGGUCUCUAACCCUCCUUAUUUUUUAGAUUAUCCGGGUGUUUAAAGGGCUUCCAUUGGCGCUACUUUUUUUUUCAAGCUGUUGUAGAGGAUAUUUGCUCCAUGGUCGUGGGCUUCAAUUGCCAUUCUACGGACAUCCCUUUUCAGUCUGAUGAGGAGUUUAGCUUUGAUGAGAAUCUUGCAACUAAUGAAUAUUUUGCAUUUGGGCCUAAGGGUACUAGAGGGCGUGAUGUUGAUGACUUUAGUAUUGCCUGGUUGUAUGCCUCUGGUUCUAAGAAAGGUUUCACAUUAGUUACUGGCCCAAGAAUUGUAUGCUAUUCUGUAGCCGGUUGCGUUAAUUACUCCUAUCUUCUAAGCUUUUGUUAUUUUUCUAAUUGUUGAGUGUAUUUGUUCCCGUGCUUAGAGGUUUUGGAAUAUGUCUCCCCCUCCAUAUGAUUUUUCUUUAAUUUUAUUAAUCUAUUGGUAAGGGGGUCCUGCCUAAUCCCCACCUUAGAGUAUUUUUUAAUUAAAAAAAAAUCCGCACAAUCCUCACAAUUUUUUUUCCUACAUGAGUUAAACAUCAAAAUCUGCUGAGGAGAAAAGUUUAAGGGUAAAAUGAUAAUUGGUGUGAGAGAAUCCGUCUUAAAUUUAACACCUUUAAGCUCAAAGACCUUGUAUCAACGAACUUGGUGGAGCUAAAGACAAGAGAAGAAAAUAAAUGCUAAUUAAUUCUUGAUGUUUGAAAAAAAUCCAAUCUAAAACAUUAGCUUCUAACCCUUCAGAAAAGUAUUUCUCAAAAAUCAAGGGUUUAAAAGUAAAUUUUAAGGACAUAAAAGUAAGAAGUCACUAAUAGGAGUGUGUAGUGGGAGUGGGAGUAGGGUAUUUACUUAGACUAAAUGAAAGUAUGGAUUGUCAAUCAGAAUCCCAAUUAUUUGUUUACUUUGUCUUGGAUUGGGAGUAAAUUAUUUUAAAUUACAAUUUUAUCCUUAUGUAAAGAAUUAUAAUUUGUAAUUAAAAAAUUAAUAAAAAAAUAUAUUUGGAAAAUAAAAUAUAUAUUUUAUUAUAUUUAUAAAUUAAUAACAAUUACUAAUAUUCUUAAUAAUGUAAAUCAUACUUUGUUAUUAUUUUUAAUUUAAAUUAUGUGAAUAAAAAUUAUUANNNNNNNNNNNNNNNNNNNNNNNNNNNNNNNNNNNNNNNNNNNNNNNNNNNNNNNNNNNNNNNNNNNNNNNNNNNNNNNNNNNNNNNNNNNNNNNNNNNNAAAUGAAAUAUUAUUAUUGAUAAUAUAGUACAAAAUUAAUUUUUUUAGAAUAAAAUAUUUAUUAUUAUUAAUUAAUUAAUUAAUAUUUAUUAAAAUUAAUGUUUAAUAUUAUUAAUUUAAAUAUAAUAUUUAUUUAUUUUUAUUUUAUUAAAUUUAAUAAAAUAAAUAUGUUAUAAUUAUUAUUUUUAAUAAAUAUGAUAUUAUUUAUUUUAUUAAAUAUGAUAUUAUUUAUUUUAAUUACGAGGGUAAAAUGGAAAGAGGGGGGAGUGGAUUCCCACUCCCACCUCCCCCCAUGGGAGUGGGAAUCUCACUCCCCACUCCAAAAUUAGGUGGGACCCACAGAGUGGGAAUCCCACUCACCCUUUUUUUAAGGUAAGUAAACACUGAAAUAAGAGGAAUCCACACUCCACACUCCCACUCCAGAAAGUAAACACUGCCUAAAUUCUUCCUUGUUGGGUCUAUCUCAUUUGGGGCCCAAAAUCCAAAUAAAUUUGCUUGGUUUGUAAUUAUUACGAAGCCUUGGACUUAGAUGAAAUUCGCCAAGUAAUUUGGCUAUAAAAGCAAGCAGUAGCCCCUGGGACUCAAAAUGACUAAAAUAAUCAUUUUUCUCCUAAUGAUUUUUAGCAUAAAGUUUUGACAAAAUUUAAUAGAUUGGACAUUUUAGUUUUAUUUGAAAUGAAAUGUUAUGAAUAAAUGGCUCUUAAAUAAUCAUAAUCAGCACACAACCAGCAAAUUCAAGGAGCAGAAAACCAAGAGAACAAAAUUUCCUCUUAAAUUAAUUCAAAUUGAAUUUUAUAUAUGAAAAAAUAAGACAUAAAUAUGUAAGACAUUUAUUCUUGCAAAGCAAACGCUUAGAUACAAGUAAAAAAAAAAAAUGUAAGAAAAUUAACUUGCAUGUUUGAGCUUAUUGUAAGCAAUAAAAGAUGGUAAAUUUUUACUUGAAUUUCUAAUUAAGGCCAUGUUCAGAGUUGAAGUUGGACAGCUAUAACUUUUGAAUUACAACACCAAAGUGUUUGAUAAAUACUAACAACUGUAUCUUAAAAAUUAAGUUGUAUGCUGAAAAAUAUAUUAUAACUUUAUUAAUUUUGUGAAAAUUAUUAUUUAAAAUUAUAUUUAUUACAUACUAUUAAUUUUUAUUUUAUAAUUAUAAUUUUUUUUAAUAAUUUAAACUUAAAAAUUAUAGUAUCUCAAUAAGAAAGAGGACUUAGCUUUCUUUCAAAGAAAUCAAUGAGAGGAAUUUUUUAUUUUCUAAUUAAUUUCUCAAAAAACAAAAAGUGUGAUCAAAAGUAUAUGCCGAAAGCAAUUAUGAAGAAUGAUCAUGGUCUUUAGUGGUGUAUGGAAUCAAAGAUAUGGUUGACGUGAUGUUGAGGAAAGUAGAGAUUUCUUUUAGUAUUUUAUCAAGGGCGGCCUCAAUAUAAUUGCAUUUUAUAGCUCAAAGUGAAUAAAAUAUUCUUUUAGAAAAAUUCCACGAUAAUCAUUUUAAGAAUUUAUUCUUUUGGAAAAAUUCCACUAAAAUCUUUUAAGAAUUUAUUCUUUCGGAAGAAUUCCGUCAUAUUCUUUAUUAAUUUUUUUUUUGUUUUUUUAAGUUAUAGAAUCUUGUUAUUGAAAUAAGUAAAGGUUGAAAUAAGUAAAAUGUUGCUUCAUCAUAUAUUUUUACGAUUUUACGUGUUGCAUUACCGAACAUAUUUAACAUAAAUUGUUACCAACAACGGGAACGCAGCUUCCAAUAUCCAAACCGUCUCAUCAUCAGGACAAUUGGACGGAAUCUUCAUCACACGUGUCUCACUAUUAUUGGUUACCGUUUUGGAUCUUCUCACGUGCAUCCGACGGUCAAGAAGGCAGCAACUCUACGUUGCCAUCAAAAAAUUGUUAAGGUUAUGAAUCUAUCCGCAAGGCAGCUGUAAAUAAUUAUACAGGUUGAUGUCUCAAUUUUGGAUAAAUAUUUGUUUAAUCUAUAUAUUUUUGUUUAAGUAUCUGUUUAGUUUUUAUAUUUUAAAAAAGUGUCUCAAGAGAUCACUGCUGUUAAGUAUAUUACACUCAUACACUUGUUUUUUCUUUACUUUUAUAGGAAUACACUUGCAACAAUAUUCUUGAGGAUGUAAAUUAAUUUAUCUAUAAAGAAAGUUAAAGUAAAAAUAAAUAUAUUUUUUUUAUUUUACUUUUGGAAUUAAUUUAGUAGAUUAAUUUUUUAAAUAAUUAUUACAGAGACUAUAAUUGCAAGGGUAUUAAAUAUUGCUUUAAGUUAGCUAGUAUUAAUUUUAUUUUAAAUCAUUGGAAGAUUGCUAUAAGAGUAUGAAAAAUACCAGUUCAUUCAAACUAAUAGUUAUUGGUUAAUUGCUAAUAAAUAACUACGGUUAAAUUUGUUAAUUAACAUUUUUCAUAGAUUAAUUAAUUAAUGUCUCCAAAAUUGUUGUAAGGGCAUUAUUAUAAAACAUAAGAAAAACAAAGGGCAAUAGUACAUAUAUUCAAUAAGUAGGGUGUCUUGAGAUAUUUUUCGAAAUAUAAAAAAUAAACAUAUAUUUAACAUAAAAUAUAUGGACUAUUCGAACAUUUACUCUCACAACUUUUGAUGUGAUUAAUAAAGGAUAAGAGCAUAUUAAAAAAGUAAUUUCUACUUAAAUUUAUAAUAGUUAUGCGAAAUAGAAAAGCUUUGUUAUAGAACGAACCCGCUAUCAAACCCGAAGCUUGAUCCUAAGCUGAGGUUUGUAUUGUACAACUCCUAUCAUUGUCUAAAUCCAGAUUCUAUAAAAUCCAAACGUCGAGAAAAAGUUCUCCGAACAUCAGAAAUGCCUUGCAACAGUUGCUAGAUAGCUGGACCCGGCACCCGGCACCCGGCUAAUGGACUGUUUAACAACAUUAAAUUUUUUUAUUUUAUUUUACACUCAUUAUUCAAUCCGCCAAUCAUUGUUUUUGAUCCAUCUGUGUAAAUCACGACACAAGUAAACUUUUUACUGUACGUUUAUUAUUCAAUUCCAUUUUUCUCCAAAAAAAUUUAGUAUGCACAUUUUUUUCAAAUUUGUGGCAUGCAAGUAAAGUAGAGCUCGAAUCUAAAACUCGAGUCUUAGAAAAAAUUAUAAUUGGAGCCAGUCUAGCCUCUAAGAUAGUAUGUGCCCUUUUUCUUCAAUUUGCAGCUUUUUUGUCAGACCUAAAAUUGAUUUAAUUUGUAAUGUUACCUAACUGGUGGUGAAGAAACAGCAGCCAUUACAUCAGAAAUCGCUAGUGCAGUUCAAGUAAAUUCAUGUAAAGCAAACCCUGAGAUACAAGUAAAAUUGAAAAUGUAAGAAAAUUAACUUACAUAUCUGAGCUUAUUGGAAGAUAAAGCAAUCAAAGAUGAUAAAUUUUUACUUGAAUUUCCAAUUAAGUUUGUUUCAAAGAAAUAAAUCAGUGAGAAGAUUUUUAUCUGUUCUAAUUAAUUUCUCAAAGACAAAAAGUUUAAUCCAAAGUGUAUGCCGAAAGUAAUUAUGAAGAAUGAUUAUGGUCUUUAGUGGCGCAUGAAAUCAAAGAUAUGGUCGACAUGAUAUUGACAAAUGCAAGGAUUUCUUUAAGCAUUUUAUUUAGCGAGUCUUCAAUGUAAUUACAUUUUAUACGGCAAAGUGAAUAAAAUAUUCUUUUAAAAAAAUUUCACUUUAAUCUUUUUAGAAUUUAUUCUUGUGGAAAUAAGGGAGGAUGGGUUUGUGUUUUUUCAAUUGAGUUUGAUAUAUUGAUUUCACAAAUAUUCAUGUCUUGUUUUUUGGUUGGUGCAUACUUUAAUGACUUUGUUUUGCGGUUCUUGUGUUGUAUGUACAUAUGUGCGUCUCAUUCUGAUUCUCACAACUCACAAAUGGCAUCGUUGUUUGUUUCUGAAUCACAACUCAAUUGAUUAAAUUAUUCUUUUAGAAUAAUUUAUUCUUAUAAAUUUCACUUAAAUUUAUAGUAGUCAUGCAAAAGAGAGACUGUAAAAACAAUAAGGGACAAAUAGUAAAUAUUGAUUACACCAUAAGAAAAUUGGGAAUCUCCCAUAAAAUAAAUAUUAAGAUAUGUGCAUAUGAGAUUAUUAUAGAACGAACCUGCUAUCAAACCCGAAGCUUGAUCCUAAGCUGAGGUAUGUAUCGUAAACUUAUAAUCCUUUUUUUUUCUAAUUCGUCCGUGAAAAUUACAACAAAAGUAUUUUUUUUUUUUAUUGUACAUUCAUUAUUCAAUCGGCCAAUCGUUUUUUUUUAAUCCAUCUGUAAAUUUUUUAUUGUACAUUUAUUAUUCAAUUCCAUUUUUCUCCAAAAAAAUUCAUUUGGUAAGCACAUUUUUUCAAAUUUGUGGCAUGCACAUAAAGUAGAGCUCGAAUCUAAAACUUGAGUCGUAGAAAGGCUUCCUUUAUAAUUGGAGCUAAAUCUUGCCUCUAACAUAGUACGUGCCCUUUCUUCAAGUAAAUUCAUGUAAAGCAAACCCUGAGAUGCAAGUAAAAUUGAAAAUGUAAGAAAAUUAACUUACAUGUUUGAGCUUAUUGGAAGCAAUCAAAGAUGAUAAAUUUUUGCUUGAAUUUCCAAUUAAGUUCGUUUCAAAGAAAUCAAUCAGUGAGAGGAUUUUUAUGUGUUCUAAUUAGUUUCUCAAAGAUAAAAAGUUUAAUCAAAAGUGUAUGCCGAAAGUAAUUAUGAAGAAUGAUUCUGGUCUUUAGUGGCGCAUGUGAUCAAAGAUAUGGUCGACAUGAUGUUGACAAAAGCAUGUUAUUAAUGGCGUCUUCAAUGUAAUUGCAUUUUAUAGGGCACAAUGAAUUCCACUUUAAUCUUUUAAGAAUUUAUUCUUGUGGAAUAAUUCCAUUAAAAUAUUUUAAGAAUUUACUCUUUUAGAAAAAUUCCAUUAUAAUCUUUUAAGAAUUUUUUUAUUUAAAUUGUAGAAUUUUCUUGUAAACAGAAGUAAAGAUGGGGAAGUAAAGGUUAAAGGCUCGACAUUUUUUACUUGAAUUUCCAAUUAAGUUUGUUCAAAGAAAUCAAUGAAAGGAUUUUCAUGUGUUCUAAUUAAUUUCUCAAACAACAAUUUUAGUCUAAAGCGUGUGCCGAAAGGAAUAAUGAAGAAUGAUUUUGGUCUUUAGUGUAGAAAAGACAUGGUCUAUUGAUGUUUGACAAAGCUAGCUUCAGUAAUCUACCCAUCAAAGAAAGGAUUUCAAUGUAAUUGCUUUUUUAAGGGAAAAUGAAUAAAUAUUCUUUUGGAUNNNNNNNNNNNNNNNNNNNNNNNNNNNNNNNNNNNNNNNNNNNNNNNNNNNNNNNNNNNNNNNNNNNNNNNNNNNNNNNNNNNNNNNNNNNNNNNNNNNNNNNNNNNNNNNNNNNNNNNNNNNNNNNNNNNNNNNNNNNNNNNNNNNNNNNNNNNNNNNNNNNNNNNNNNNNNNNNNNNNNNNNNNNNNNNNNNNNNNNNNNNNNNNNNNNNNNNNNNNNNNNNNNNNNNNNNNNNNNNNNNNNNNNNNNNNNNNNNNNNNNNNNNNNNNNNNNNNNNNNNNNNNNNNNNNNNNNNNNNNNNNNNNNNNNNNNNNNNNNNNNNAAAUAAUGGUUGAAAGCUUGACAUUUUUCUUUGAAGUGGCUUAAGGCUCGGGAAGAAAGGUUUACGGCUGUCCACUUCUCUUAGAAAUAAUUGGUUUUAGGCAUCUUUUGGUUACAAGCCUCACAAGUUGUAAGUUAUUAUUCAGAUUUUUUUGAUACGAGCAGUGGUCAAUAGAGUCAACUCAGAUAAAACUUAAAUUUCCCGCCCAAACAAAAACUAACAAACAUAAAGAAUUUGAAUCAUCCUUCAAUAAUAACAUAAAUAGCAACUCCAGAGGCUAGUAAUUUGAUCAUUUCUGUAUUUGUCAAUGCAUUAUGGACUCUAAGACCAGGCUCUAAAAUCAAAUAAAUGCUACAGUUGUAUGCAAUUGAUGAAUAGAUAUCAUCAAUUCCAAAAAUUGUUGAUAAUAUUACUUAAGUAAGGUUACGAAUCCAUCCGCAAGACAGCUGUAAAUAGUCAUAUACCCUGACGUAUGAGCUUUUUAUAUGAUUAAUAAAGGAUAAGAGCAUAUUCAAAAAUCAAUUUCUACUUAAAUUGAUAGUGAAUGUGUAUAUCACUGUGCAGAAGUAAAUAAAGUAUGCAAGCAUGAUAAAACAAAGUUCAUGAUAUGUGCCUAUGAGAUUAUUAUAGAAUGAACCUGCUAUAAAAAAUGAUGCAGUGACUAAGCUGGAAGAAAAGGCCACUUAAGAUGUGAAUUUGCUGUUAUUUGAUUCAACUCUUGGCAUGGCUCUUGAGGUUUGAAUCAGCUUAUGGCAGGCAAGUGAGCAAGCUGAUAUUGCUGUUGUAGAUAGCUUGAUGCCCUUAUCAACAUUCUUCUUCCAUGAAUCUGAAUCUUUUGGUCGAAGAUAUUGAUAGCAAUGCACAUAGAAGUAAUACGGCACUGCAUGUUAUAAAGGAAAUUAUUAAUUUUGUAAAGUACCUUAGCGAUUCUGCUUUUGCUAACUUUGUUACUGUCUCCACUGCACUCUGUUCCACAUAGUCGAAAUCAUUCUGCAUUUUGACCUGAUUCUAACAAGACAAUCUAACUUCCAAGCUUUCAAAUUUCCCCAAGGUCUCUGGCACAUUUUUAAGUUUGGAGCAGCCAGAGAGAUACAAUGUUCUAAGCAAUCUCAAACCAUUUAUGGUACUUGGAAGACUCUUGAGAUUUUUACAAUCUUUCAAAUUCAACAAGACAUUGCCAGAAAGAAGUUCAAUAGAUGCUGGCAAUCCUCUUAUAGCAGUUCCUUCCAAAUGAAGCUCCAAGAGCUGAUCCCUGCUUGAAGUUUUCUCUGGGAACUCUCUGAAUUUCAAAGGGCUGGAGAGAUUCAAAGUUGAUAGAUAUUUUAGAGCACUUAUGGUCCGUGGAAGACACUCGAGAUUUUUGCAGCCAUUCAGAGUCAACUGAGCAAGUCCAAAUAGAAGUUCAAUUGAUAAUGUUAAUAUCAGUUCCAUCCGAAAGAACUUCCCACAACGUCUAGAAAUUUCUUCAAUUUCCAGCAACCAGAAAGAACAAGUGUCUUAAGAGAUUUCAUAAAGAUCUUGCCUGGAAGAGUUGAAAGACUUGUACAACCUUUCAAAUUCAACAAAAUCAGCUUCUUUGACGCAGAAAAAAUGAGUGAAUCUCCUGCAACCUUGUAAAUCUUUCAGAAAUCAUCUCCCCUAAAUUUGGUACUCUUGUGAAGUCUGAUUGGUCCUAUUAGAAAAGGCUUUAGCACUGACAUGCAUCUCUUUGUUGUUAAAGCGAUCAAAUAUGAUGCUUCAACUACAUCAGUUUCCUAAACAUUAUAACAAAAAAUAAGUGGGAACAAAAAAAAAAUGAAAGAAAGAAAAUAUUGAUAAAACUACGCAAAGGUUUCACUAGUUAAAUAAGUGAUCAUGAUCCCAAAAUUGCAAGUUUUCAACCUAACUGAACAUUUACUUGUGCUUUGUGAUAAUGCAUGGCAUAUAUCUGCUUCCUUCCACAAUCUAUUGCAGUUUCCAGGCUCCUGAGGGGAUUGCCUCCUAACAAUUUGUCUACCCCAUUUCUUGUAGCUACUCAUGCAUCCACAGUCUGCUGAAAUCAUCUACAGUUAAUAGAGAUUUUUCAAUAGGACCAACAAUUUCGAUAAUUGGGUCAAAAUCACAAUAUUUGAGAAUUUUUUUCACAUAAUCUCUAUACUUCCCUUCACAGAAACAUGCAAUAUCGAGAAAUAUUUUCUUCUCUGUUUCUUUUGACCCAUCAAAACUUAUUUGAAGAACAUCAAGAACCUCAUUUUCAGGAUCUCCCUAUAGUCAUUGUAGUAUAACUCUGAAAAUAUUUUCUUCUCAGCUUUGGAAAUUAAUGAUCUUCUUCUUCAUAUUUAUUCUGAAAAUUCAAAAACAUAAAUGAAAAUAAAGAGAACUGCAUGGCAUAAAAUUUACAACUUUGAUUAUGUUGCAACCAGCAUAGUAAUUUUCUUAAUAAGAAUUCCGACAGUUGUAGUUUUAAAUAUCAACUACAUGUCAACGAUGCAGAAUUCCAAGGCAUCUUCUAUUAAACAAAAACAAAUAAUAAGAACCAACAGUUGUCAAUUCUUAUCAACAAAGUCUUCAAAUUGACAUUGUGGUCUGUUGUUUAACGAAAAAAAGGAAAAUCAAUAGUUGUCAAUUCCUAUCAACCAAAUCCUCAGACCAAAAUUAAACAUGGGGGUGGAGAAAAGAAAAAUAAAAAUCAAAUGUUGAAUCCUCUUGAUUGUUUCAUGGAUAAAUCUGAUCUAGAUCUGAGUCCAUAUUUAACAUAUUCAUCUACCCAUUUUCAGACAUGCCAUGAAUUGUAAAUUAAGCCAAAGAUUCGCAAAAAGCAACAAAGAAACAAAAAACAGAUUCUAUGUUCAGCCACAAAUGGGGUAUUUCACAGCCAAGCACAAUGGUUAUGGAAGAUUGCUAGUAAACAAAUGAAGAAAAUUAAUUGCUUUUCACAGGUUCAAGAAUUAACACUAUUAUUGAUUGCUUC
rnacentral:lncRNA from 1 species